rnacentral:lncRNA from 1 species
CUUCUUUUGCUUUACCGAUCGACAGAUUAGGUCCACCCUUAGGUGAUAGGAUAUCACCUCAGAAUCAAUGUCGGGCAUGUCUGUAGUAGACCAGGCAAAAAGAUCCAUAUUUUUCUACAAAAGAUUAAUUAGCCGACAUUUGGUUACCUUAUCUAGUCGCGAGCCGAUUUUCACCAUCCAGCUCAGAUUCUCCUUCCUCAAUGGGAUAUCUAAAAGGUCCUUCCAAGC